rnacentral:lncRNA from 1 species
CCUAAAUCCCAAACCCUAAUGUAUUCCCCAAGCCACCAUACCCCCCCCCCCACCGGUUCUCCCUCCACACUUCUAGUGGCUAUUCAGUAAGUACUUUUCCUAACACACUACGUCCCUGUGAUCAUCCAGUAAGUAGUUGCCAUUGUGUUGCUGCAGCAGUGGCACCCAACACUUCUGCGAACUCGCAGCAGUGCAGCGACACUACUAUUGCUACAAUAGCAAUGUUGUCGACAAAGCACCAUCUCAGAUGCAAUGCCUAUAGCUAGACGCGAUGUUGUUACCAAAGAACAACAGUAGUGUCGUCGGCAAAGAUGGCGUGCCGCUUGUGCCCAUAUGCGAAAUCGAUACCAGAAAAAAUUGGGGUUGAUUUCGGGUCUUUUUGGGUGAUUUCCUCCUAUUUCAAUCUAGUUUGCUUAGCUGGGGUUGUGAUUGUUUUUUCCGUGACCAUUGCCUCACCACUGCCGCCCGGCGAGUCACAGUCGAAAUACCGCCACCAGAACCACUACCAUCUCCGACAGUAAAACUAUUAUCUCAAAAUCACAGCCAAACACCACCACCAUCAGCUUGCCACUCCACAACCACAAAUCCCCCUCUCCCCACAAAAAUAAAUAAUGUGUAACCUAAGAAUACCGAAAAAUUAUUGGUGACUAAUUAAUUAGAUAUUUUGUGACCAUAAAAUAAGUUGUGACUUGUAAAAUUUUUGAUUUAUGACCGUGAAAUAAUUCUCACCUAUAAUUUUUUUUAUGGUGAGCAAGAAUUAAUUUGUUGACCA